CCUACGGGGAGCAGCAGUGGGGAAUAUUGGACAAUGGGCGAAAGCCUGAUCCAGCCAUGCCGCGUGUGUGAAGAAGGCCUUCGGGUUGUAAAGCACUUUCAGUGGGGAAGAAAGCCUUGGGGCUAAUACCCUCGAGGAAGGACAUCACCCACAGAAGAAGCACCAGCUAACUCCGUGCCAGCAGCCGCGGUAAUACGGAGGGUGCGAGCGUUAAUCGGAAUUACUGGGCGUAAAGCGCGCGUAGGCGGUCUGAUAAGCCGGUUGUGAAAGCCCCGGGCUCAACCUGGGAACGGCAUCCGGAACUGUCAGGCUAGAGUGCAGGAGAGGAAGGUAGAAUUCCCGGUGUAGCGGUGAAAUGCGUAGAGAUCGGGAGGAAUACCAGUGGCGAAGGCGGCCUUCUGGACUGACACUGACGCUGAGGUGCGAAAGCGUGGGUAGCAAACAGGAUUAGAUACCCUAGUAGUC
rnacentral:rRNA from 1 species